rnacentral:tRNA from 1 species
UAUAGCUCAGUGGUAGAGCCCGGCCUAGCAAGCACGAGGUCCUGGGUUCAAUCCCCAGUA